GAUCCUGGCUCAGGACGAACGCUGGCGGCGUGCCUAAUACAUGCAAGUCGAACGAGAGCGACCGGUGCUUGCACUGGUCAAUCUAGUGGCGAACGGGUGAGUAACACGUGGGUAACCUGCCCAUCCAGAGGGGGAUAACAUUCGGAAACGGAUGCUAAAACCGCAUAGGUUCUUUAGUCGCAUGACUGAAGAAGGAAAAGAGGGCUUCGGCUUCUGCUGAUGGAUGGACCCGCGGUGCA
rnacentral:rRNA from 1 species